UUCAAUUAAUGGCAAUGUGGGGCCCCAUAAAAGUCGACUUGAAGGUGAAUCUUUCCAUCUCCUUCUUCUUCCCCGGACCGGAGAAAGAACGGAAGGAGAGCUUCAAUCCCCAUUGACACUCCUAUUCCAAGCUUUCUGUCGGAGCUCCAGGCACGGCAAUGUACGAUAAUGUCUUCUGGUGGACCUGCUUUGCCCUUCUCUCCACAGCAGCUUUAGUUCUCCUCUUCCCUGUUUUCUCUUCAAGCAGAACCCUUAGGCUUAGGAUCAAUGAGGAGGACCCAGAAUCUGCUGCGAUCGGUGCCACGCCGCGAGGGACGAGUCCCAUUGUCGAUCCGAAAGGGUUCGAUUACGAGGUGUUCCUGAGCUUCAGGGGAACAGACACCCGCAAGGGUUUCACUGAUUUCCUCUAUAACAGCCUUAAAGAUGCUGGCGUCCGCGUGUUCAGGGAUGACGAGGAGCUCCGGGUUGGGGAAGAGAUCGGGCCCGAGCUUCUUGAGGGCAUCAGGAAGUCGAAGAUCUCGAUACCGAUAUUCUCCAAGGACUACGCCUCGAGCAAAUGGUGCCUCAAGGAGCUGGCUUUUAUGGUGGAGUGCCGGACCACAAGGAAGCAAUUGGUGAUGCCGGUUUUCUAUGACGUCACCCCGAACGAAGUCCGGCACCAAACUGGGACCUAUGAGAAAUCGUUCUCGCAGCAUGUGAGGAAGUAUGGUCCGUUAGUCGUUCAGCACUGGAGGGAUGCUCUCGCUCAUAUUGGAGCCUUAAAGGGUUGGGAGUUGAAGAACACCGCCAAUGGACACCAGGGAAAACUAGUAAAGUUAGUGGUUGCGAAGGUCUUGAAAGAAUUGAAAAAAGCUUAUCUUGUGGUGUCUGAUAGCAUAGUUGGAAUUGACGAUCAUGUGGAAGCAAUUACAAGACUGCUAGAGGUUGAUGCUGGUGAUGUGCGUAUCAUCGGGAUACAUGGCAUGGGUGGCAUUGGUAAGACAACCAUCGCCAAGGUCAUCUAUAAUCAGCUGUUGGAUCGUUUCGACAGUUGCAGCUUCCUCAAAGAUAUCCGAGAAACAGCACUUCAACACAAGGGUCUCGAAUAUCUGCAAAGCCUAUUGAUCUCUAUGAUCUUAAGGUGUGAGAGACAGGAAUUAACUAGUGUCGAUGAAGGAACCUAUGAGCUGAAACACAGGUUACGUGACAAGAAAGUUCUCAUUCUUCUCGAUGAUGUUGAUAGGAGGAAUCAACUGAAUGCACUUGCAGCAGAACUUGAUUGGUUUGGUCCCGGAAGCAGAAUCAUUGUAACAACUAGAAACAGGGACGUCCUUCCUCAAGUGGGUGCAGCUUAUGAAGUCAGAGAACUGCAGCCUCGUCAAGCUUUUUUACUUUUCUGCAAGCAUGCAUUCAGAAAUGACUUGCCCUCAACUGAAUUUGUUGAUAUAUCGUAUAAUGUCAUGGAGACAACUGGUGGACUACCUUUAGCCCUUGAGGUCAUAGGCUCCUUUCUCGCUGGAAAAAGCAUGGCUGUGUGGGAAGACACGUUAAAGAAGUUGAAAAGAAUACCUCAUACUGAAGUCCAAGAAAAGUUGAAGAUAAGCUAUGAAGCAUUAGAUCAUGAGCAGAAACAAAUAUUCCUCGAUGUUGCUUGUCUUUUAAUUGGAAUUGAUGUGCGGAUCGCAGUUCACAUGUGGAAAGAUUGUGAAUUUUUCCCCACUGAAGGGAUUGAAGUCCUUUGUCUAAUGUCUCUCAUUAAAAUAGGAGAUGACCACGAGCUAUGGAUGCAUGAUCAACUCAGAGACCUCGGGAGAGAAAUCGUUCGUCAAGAAAACUACAAUGAGCCAGGGAAGCGAAGUAGAUUGUGGCGUACUGAAGAAGCAGUGGAUGUGCUUGAGAGACAAGAGGGAUCAGCAAAUGUCAAAGGCAUUCGUCUGAAUUUCGGGAUUGAGUUGGUAGACUACUGCUUCGGAAAUGAAGAGUUCACGAACUUAUCAAAUCUGAGGUUCCUUCAACUGCAUUCUGCCAACCUUGCUGGAGAUUUUCGCCGUCUGCUGUCAAAGUUAAGAUGGCCAUGUUGGCGCACAAGAAGCUCUGCAGUUCAGCCAGCAAAUUUACAUCUAAAGAAUCUAGUUAUUGUUGAUCUAUCAUAUAGCAGCAUAAGAGAGGAUUGGAGCGGUUGGAUCUCAAUUAAGAUGUCAGUCAAGUUGAAAGUUCUAGAUCUCACGGGUUGCCGAAAUCUACAGCAGUCUCCUGAUUUCUCAUCCUUUUUAGUGUUGGAGCGGUUAAUUCUCGAAGACUGCAGAAGUUUGGUUGCGGUUGACCCAUCAAUUGGACAUCUCCAGCAUCUGGUUUUCUUAAACCUGAGGAAAUGCUUCAAACUCAAGAAGCUGCCUGCACAGUUGAGUUCUAUGAAAGCAUUAACUGAGCUUCUCAUUGAUGGAAGUGGAAUUCAAGAAAUACCCAUCUCAGGACCUAUGAGAAAGCUUGAAAUUCUAUGUGGCAGAGAGUGCAAGGACCUGACUGAGCUUCCUGAUUCGAUUGGUCGCUUGACUUCUCUUGUGGACCUUGUAUUGGAUUCUGCUAGUAUAAGCAAACUUCCGGACUCGAUUGGGUCCUUGGUGGAACUGAGGCACCUGUCUUUGAAGAACUGCAAAUCAUUAGGAGAACUUCCAGACUCCAUUGGCCAUAUGAGUUCAUUGACUGAGCUAAACUUGUCAGGUACUAAAGUUCGAAGAUUGCCCACUUCUGUUGGAAACUUAAGCAAUUUGGAAGUGCUUAACAUUGAUGGUAGUCUUGUGGAGGAGUUUCCUGUCACUCUUUGGAUGCUGGAUAAUCUUGAAAAAAUAAACGCCUCCAAGUGUAAGGAAUUGAAAGGGAGCAUUCCCGAAGAGCUUCAGAGACUGUCAUCUUUGAAACUCUUGACAUUAGACCACACACAAGUUGAUAGCCUUCCAACAAGCAUUGGCGGGCUUUCCCAUCUCCAGAGUCUUGAUUUAACAGGAUGUAAGAGGCUGCAGACUCUUCCAGAGCUUCCAGAUAGCUUAAUAUGUCUGCGGGUUACCUGUAAAUCAAUGGUUUCCUUCCCAAACCUCUCUCGUCUCACUAACUUAAGGGAACUUUGUUUCUCGAAAUGUUAUAAACUCGAGCAAGUUCCUCCAGAGAUAGGGAAACUAUUCAAGUUGGAGAAGUUGGUAAUCUCAAAGUUACGCAUUAGCACCUUACCAGAAGAGAUCGGUGCUCUUUCUCAACUGAAAGAACUCUCUGUUCAGGAUUGCAUUGAAGUUGUCUGCCUCCCUGUGCUUCCCGCAGGACUCUAUAAGCUGAACGUAUCGGACUGUUACUCCUUUCAGACACUGCCAGAUCUUUCAAAUUUGAAGAAAUUAUCGGAACUAAGGCUAUGCGAGUGUUCCGAGCUAAAGGAAGUUCCAGGCCUUGGAGAUUUAUUAUUCUUGGAAAAACUGGAGAUAAUUAGCUGCACUAUGUUGGCUAAUCUCGAUGGGCUCGAGAAGCUAGAGUCUCUGAGAUUUUUGAUAAUAUCAAAAUGUGAAUCAAUCGAGAGACUUCCUGAUUUGUCGAAUUUGAGGAAGUUGCCCUCACUGCACGCUUCAUACUGCCAGAACCUCGUAGAAGUUCCAGGCCUCGAGAGUUUACAUGGUCUAGAAAGUCUGUACAUGCCAUGCUCCUCGUCCUUGGAAAAGCUGCCGAAACUAUCGAAUGUGAGACUUUUAUAUCUCGCACAGUGCAAGAAGCUUCACGAUCUUUCAGAGCUCGAGGAAUUGGAGUCCUUGGAGUUGCUGAACCUCGCUGGAUGUAAAGCGAUUAGAAGGUUGCCUAAUUUAUCGAACCUGCAGAGGUUAAGAGCGCUGGAAAUGCAAGGUUGUGAAAAUCUUCUGGAGAUUCCGGGCCUGGAGGAACUGAAUUCCCUGAGAACAUUGAAUAUUUCCGACUGUCCAUGGGUUCAGAACAUUCCGGGUCUUCCAAAUGUAACAGUAACAUGUUGAAUGAGAAAGAUCAGUCACUUGACGAAAGCAGGGAUGGGUGAAGAGGAGACAGUUUUUAAUGCAGAUGCUGCCAUGCAUUACCGACUAGAUUCACAUUUUGUCAGAUGAUUGGUGAAAGAGAUUGCCUAAGAAUGGGAAGUUUUGGACAUUACAAAUCACAGAAUGCCGUUCUUCCUGGCCCUGUUGGACUUGCCGUUCUGGCUGUCCGCAGAAGCCAUGUCACCUUCAGAUAUGCUAUCUUGUCAAGCAUUGAUUGUUAUGUAAUCCGUCUUUGACGGGUGGGUCUAUAUGAGAUCUCAAUGAAAUUCGGGAAAGAGACAGAUGAAGCAUCAAAGAAGCACGACACAACUUUUUCUUUCGGAAAAGAAAAGCAAAUGGAAUCCUAUAAAGCAAGAAGUUGACAGUACCACAUGGAAAAAACACUACCCCUAGUUUGGCGUUUUCUGUCCAUUGGAACAGCUUCUUCUCUUCUUUUGUUUCAUCUCUUUAUUGUUUUUUGAAUGGAAAUAGAUGAUUCAAGCCAAGAUGGGAUAGCAACCUCCACUCAGAUUUUAAAUAAAAAUAAAAGGAAAAGAAAAGGGGGAACCAAAAAAAAAAAAAGAUGAUUACAGUGCACAGAGUUAAAAUGUGAUGUGAUCUCUGCCUUGCAAAGUUUGUUUUCUUGUCCUCGAUCAA